rnacentral:snRNA from 1 species
GGACAGGAGGGUGGUCUGACUAUAAUCCUCAGGGUUAAUCUGGUUAACCUGGCUGCCUAGCCAGGCAUUCCUUUCCCCACCUGCUACAUGGGUGUCCUGAAGCCUUCUAUUCAGUUAAAAGGACUACCGUCUUGGACAGAGAAGGGCUGUUCCUUCAAGGAUAUACAAGUAGUUGUGCUAUCCACUAGAACUUCCAAAUCAGCUCUCAAGAAAAUGUCCAUUAGGUUGAAUAUUUGUAUAAAUGAGAUUUACUUGAAACUCUUUCAUAUGUCUCUUUAUCCACUUAUAUAAAUUGUUUUUCAGU